CCUGGUGGCUUAGACGGUAAAGCAUCUGUCUACAAUGCAGGAGACCUGAGUUCGAUCCCUGGGUCAGGA
rnacentral:tRNA from 1 species